rnacentral:rRNA from 1 species
UGAAUACGAGACGCUACGGCGUCGAAGCAGUCUAUGUCAUACUUCCAAGAAAAGCUUGCACUGUCAUAAACAAAUAAUGCCUGUACCAUAACCGACACAGGUGGGUAGGUAGAGUAUACUAAGGGGCGCGAGAUAACUCUCUCUAAGGAACUCGGCAAAAUGACUCCGUAACUUCGGGAGAAGGAGUGCCUUAUUUAUAAGGUUGCAAUAACAAGAUCCAAGCAACUGUUUAUCAAAAACACAGGUCUCCGCUAAGUCGUAAGACGAAGUAUGGGGGCUGACGCCUGCCCAGUGCCAGAAGGUUAAAGAAGUUGGUUAGCAUUAGCGAAGCUGAUAACUGAAGCCCUGGUGAACGGCGGCCGUAACGAUAACGGUCCUAAGGUAGCGAAAUUCCUUGUCGGGUAAGUUCCGACCCGCACGAAAGGCGUAAUGAUUUGGAUACUGUCUCAGAGAGGGGCUCGGUGAAAUAGACUUGUCUGUGAAGAUGCGGACUACCUGCACCAUGACAGAAAGACCCUAUGAAGCUUUACUGUAACUUGAAAUUGAAAUUGGACUUUAUUUGCGCAGUAUAGGUGGGAGGCAUUGAUAAUAUUCUUGCGGGAAUGUUGGAGCCAUCAGUGAGAUACCACUCUUGUAAUGUUAGAUUUCUAACUUUGGAUCAUUAUCCGGUCAAAGGACAGUUUCAGGCGGGCAGUUUGACUGGGGCGGUCGCCUCCUAAAUGGUAACGGAGGCGCACAAAGGUUUCCUCUGAACGGGUAGAAAUCGUAUCUAGAGUGUAAAGGCAUAAGGAAGCUUGACUGUGAGACCUACAAGUCGAGCAGGGACGAAAGUCGGUCUUAGUGAUCUGACGGUGCUGAGUGGAAAGGCCGUCACUCAACGGAUAAAAGUUACUCUAGGAUAACAGGCUGAUCUCCCCCAAGAGUUCACAUCGACGGGGAGGUUUGGCACCUCGAUGUCGGCUCAUCGCAUCCUGGGGCGGUAGUACGUCCCAAGGGUUGGGCUGUUCGCCCAUGAAAGCGGUACGCGAGCUGGGUUCAGAACGUCGUGAGACAGUUCGGUCCAUAUCCGGUGUAGGCGUUAGAAUAUUGAGAGGAGCCUUCUUUAGUACGAGAGGACCGAGAAGGACAUACCUCUGGUGUACCAGUUAUCGUGCCAACGGUAAACGCUGGGUAGCUAUGUAUGGAGAGGAUAACCGCUGAAAGCAUCUAAGUGGGAAGCCCACCUCAAGAUAAGUAUUC